UACGUAUGGAGCAAGCGUUAUCCGGAUUUACUGGGUGUAAAGGGAGCGCAGGCGGUCUGGCAAGUCUGAUGUGAAAGGCCGAGGCUCAACCCCGGGACUGCAUUGGAAACUGUCAGACUGGAGUGUCGGAGAGGUAAGCGGAAUUCCUAGUGUAGCGGUGAAAUGCGUAGAUAUUAGGAGGAACACCAGUGGCGAAGGCGGCUUACUGGACGAUGACUGACGCUGAGGCUCGAAAGCGUGGGGAGCAAACAGG
rnacentral:rRNA from 1 species